rnacentral:lncRNA from 1 species
AGAAGAAGAGCGUGUUAGAUGAGGAGCGUACCGAAGAGGCCUUCACAAUUCACCAAAGUCAACUUCUCAAGCAUAGGACAAUCGAAGAUAUGUUCUUCAGCAAUAACAACAUCAAUCAGCUCAAGAUUUUUCAAACAAGCAAGUCCUCCAGAUUCAGGUCAAGUAUAGGGAAACCAAACAUUAAAAAGCCUCAAAUGUGUCAGAUUCAAAGAAGAGAAAUUCAGUGCUGUAGAAUCUUCCGACAAAGCCCUGUAUAGUAAGUUGCUUAAUACCAUUCCUUGUGUAACACAAAGGUUAUUGUUUUUCUUUUGUAACACUAACGGCCGGCCAUGGUGCCUUGGGAGGUGCAUGCAGCUGCUCCCUGCACACACCUUGUCAUUGCAUGUAAUCAGACUUAUACAUCAAAAUAAAAUCUCUUUGGAAAAUUAGACCUCUCCAUAAAGUUGAAAUGCCGCAUCAUUCAUUCACGUAUAAGCUGGUGGAAAAAUACAGAUUAUUGUUCAUGUUUUGAUUUAUUACCAUGAUAUUCCCAUCAUGUGUGUGGAUUUUAAUGAACAUUUAAAAAAAAAAUAUAAGUGAAAAAAAUAUAAGUGUC